rnacentral:rRNA from 1 species
AACGAACGCUGGCGGCAGGCCUAACACAUGCGAGUCGAGCGCGCCCUUCGGGGUGAGCGGCGGACGGGUGAGUAACGCGUGGGAACGUGCCCUUCUCUGCGGAAUAGCCUCGGGAAACUGAGAGUAAUACCGCAUACGCCCUUUGGGGGAAAGAUUUAUCGGAGAAGGAUCGGCCCGCGUUGGAUUAGGUAGUUGGUGGGGUAAUGGCCCACCAAGCCGACGAUCCAUAGCUGGUUUGAGAGGAUGAUCAGCCACACUGGGACUGAGACACGGCCCAGACUCCUACGGGAGGCAGCAGUGGGGAAUCUUAGACAAUGGGGGCAACCCUGAUCGAGCCAUGCCGCGUGAGUGAUGAAGGCCUUAGGGUUGUAAAGCUCUUUCAGCUGGGAAGAUAAUGACGGUACCAGCAGAAGAAGCCCCGGCUAACUCCGUG